GUCUCUGUGGUGCAACUGGUUAGUGCAUUCAGCUGUUAACUGAUAGGCUAAUGGUUUGAGCCCACCAGGGACA
rnacentral:tRNA from 1 species